AUUGAACGCUGGCGGCAUGCUUUACACAUGCAAGUCGAACGGGCAGCGCGGGGGCAACCCUGGCGGCGAGUGGCGAACGGGUGAGUAAUGUAUCGGAACGUAUCCUGUAAUGGGGGAUAACCAGUCGAAAGAUUGGGUAAUACCGCAUACGCACGAGAGUGGAAAGUAGGGGAUCGCAAGACCUUACGUUAUAGGAGCGGCCGAUAUCUGAUUAGCUAGUUGGUGGGGUAAAGGCCUACCAAGGCGACGAUCAGUAGCUGGUCUGAGAGGAUGAUCAGCCACACUGGGACUGAGACACGGCCCAGACUCCUACGGGAGGCAGCAGUGGGGAAUUUUGGACAAUGGGCGAAAGCCUGAUCCAGCCAUGCCGCGUGCGGGAAGAAGGCCUUCGGGUUGUAAACUGCUUUAGUCUAGGAAAAAGGGGUGCGAGGUUAAUACCCUCGUGCUUUGAUGGUACUGGAAGAAUAAGCACCGGCUAACUACGUG
rnacentral:rRNA from 1 species